UUAAAAUAAGGGCAAACUAACUCAUGACGGAUGGAAUCAGGCAUCAGAAUGAGUGUCUGUUCACACUGCUUUUGCCUAAUCUGCUGUAGAAGAAGAAGAAGAUGAUGAUGAUGACAGUGAUGAUGAUGAUGAGAUGAUGGAGAUGAUGAUGAUGAUGGAGAUGAUGAUGAUGGUGAUUAUGAUGAUGGAGAUAAUAGCACUGGUGAAAGGUUGCCCUGCUGACUACUCCAGCAAUGCUCCAGAGUGCUAGAGAAUAAUAUUCAGAAGGCUAUCCACAACUGGGAAAGAAGAGGGAUUUUGAACCUUCAUGUCUGUAAGAAUAGCUAAUGGGUGCCUGCAUUACAUGCUGGGCCACCCUGUUAGUCCCUUGUUUACAAGCUUGCAGAGUAUAUUCCUGUCCAUGAAUACCAGUCCAUAGAGGUGAAACCACAAAUACUAGUUCACAGGGAUGAAGACUCUAGUAUCUAAGUCAGGCUUCAGGGAACUAAGUCAACUCAUCAAACUGGGCAGGGGCAUGACCUGCUUAACUGGACU